GAUGAACGCUGGCGGUAUGCUUAACACAUGCAAGUCGAACGGACCCUUCGGAGUUAGUGGCGGACGGGUGAGUAACGCGUGAGAAUCUGGCUUUGGGUUCGGGACAACCACUGGAAACGGUGGCUAAUACCGGAUGUGCCGAGAGGUAAAAGAGAAAUUGCCUGAAGAUGAGCUCGCGUCUGAUUAGCUAGUUGGUGAGGUAAAGGCUCACCAAGGCAGCGAUCAGUAGCUGGUCUGAGAGGAUGACCAGCCACACUGGGACUGAGACACGGCCCAGACUCCUACGGGAGGCAGCAGUGGAGAAUUUUCCGCAAUGGGCGAAAGCCUGACGGAGCAAUACCGCGUGAGGGAAGAAGGCUCUUGGGUUGUAAACCUCUUUUCUUAGGGAAGAACAAAAUGACGGUACCUAAGGAAUCAGCAUCGGCUAACUCCGUG
rnacentral:rRNA from 1 species